AUUGUGGACCUUUUUCACAGAGGACAGAAUGUGAAGAAACAAUCCAGGAGCUUGUUCUUCAAGAGCCUGAGGAAGAGCCCCUGGCACGGGCAGGCAGUGGGUUCUCGUAGUCCUGGAAGGACUCACCAGAGAAAACGCCGUCCAUCACAGAAGAUAUUGGGGAGAGCUCCUGAGCAGACUGGCCAGAAGUUUCCUUGAAAUUCUGAUUCUACAAUGCCUUGAUGAAGGUGUACAUUCGUGGAACCCAUUCCUGAACAACCUGUCCUGGAACUCGGAGUGUCUGUGUUCUUGGCCAGCACUAGCCUCGAAAGAGCUGGUGGCCAUCUGUGAUGUUGGAGAGUUUCCAGAAAACCACCACUACUGCCAAGUUAUGCAUUGGAAAAGCAUGCCAGGGAAUAUGAAUUGUGUGGAGUUGAGGAAAGUCAGGCCUUCUGACUCGGGGACCUUGGGGAGGACAAAAUGGAGACACUUCUGAUGUCUACCAAGACUACGUCUGCCUCUGCAAGGCCCGGAUGGAACCAAAAAGAUGGGCCAUUCCCAGGACAGGAAAGAAUGUCUUCUGCUUAAUUGAAUUCAUACUGCAGCCUUGGCUCUUUUCGUGCUUUUGGACUUGAACUGAAACAUCAGUCCUUUUUGGGUAUCUAACCUACAAACUUUCAGACUAAUACCAUUGGCUCCCUUGGUUCUCAUACUGCCAGACUCACUGGAAAUACACCAUUGGUUCUCCUGAGUUUCCAGCUUUUCACCUGACUGCAGAUACUGAGACAUGACAAGCCACCAUAAUUACAAGAGCCAGUUCAUUGUCUUUGUUGGUUGAUGUAAGGCUAUGUAAUGUGCUGAGACUGUCCUCCCUGAUCCUCGGUGAGAACUGAAUUCUGUCUGCUUCCAAGUCUGUUAUGCAAAGCCAGGCCCACUUCAGGGCACAGAAGAGGUAUCAGUGCUCUUCUAUGCCCAUCAUUCACUUCCCAAUAUCCGCUCUCAGUGGCUGGGGUGAUAGUUGCCACUCUUGGAGGCUAGGAUGAUAGCUGUGUUGUUAGACAUUGAAGACACUGUGUUUAAGUAGUUUUGUUCGUUGGAAGGGAGUGGAAGAUUGUGGACACAGUGUUUAUCCGUCUCCAGUAGCUGUGUUCUUCUGCUGUUUAUAUGCAUCAGAGGGAGUGAUAUUUUGGGGCUCAACAGCUACAAAUGCAAUGCAAAAUUUCCUAGUCUUUUGCAUUCUCCAACCCACCCGAAGCAUUUGUGUGUUGAAAUAUCUACCAAAAAGAACCUGGAGGCAGGAAUGGUGUAUUUGCUUUUGAGUAAUGCAACCCCUCUCACUAUCUACCUCGGAUCCUGUAGGAGCCAACACACUGGAAGCAGAAGAGGAAGAAUGAGGACCGUUACUGCAAAGAUGAGAGGCAGGUGUCAGCUAAGGUCCACAGGAGAGACGCUUGGCUGUAAUGGACAAAAUCUAGCCAAUUCCCACCUGGUGACAGAACGAAGAGGAUCCUGACAGAUAGAUGGGCUUUCGUUUGGUCAAGAGACUGAACAUAUUCUCAUCCUUUAACUUAUUUUUUUGCAUUUAAUUGAUGCAUAACAAUCACACAUACUCAUGGGGCACAGAGUGAUUUCUUUCCAUAUGUGUAUCAAUUUCAUGUAGCAUUCCUCCUCUGAGUAGAAACUUCUGUCUUCCCCAACCUCCUCAUUGCAGAACAAUAUGAUUUUUCUAAGGUCUGGUUUUGUGGCUUUACACCCUGAAUUAAUCACUGCAAGUGGCAAAGGUGCUUUUCUAUUUUAAAAGUGAGCCUCAAACUCACUUGUUCUGCUUGGAGGCAGAAACCUGUGACCUCCACCUCCACCUCUCCAAUGGACGAUGCAUAGUCUGCCAUUAUAGAAAGUGCUGCUUUUUGUCUCCACUGGUUGGGGAAGCUUUUGCAAGCAGGGCUGAACAAGAAACACCAUUUCUUGUGGAAAUGGCAUCUUGUCUCUAUUCUACCUUCAGAACAGACUUGUUUUUGUAAAGUGGCUCAUAUGUGCUGGGACAGUGGACUCAGAAUUGAGGAGGAAAAUGGAGAUUAGGGGACAUGUUUUCUUUGGGGGAAGAAAUCAAGCCAAGAGACCUAUUCAUUCACAUUGACCUUAGAGAUAGAGAUCAGGUGAUGCAACACUUCAGACCUCAUUAUUUGCUGCUGGGCCAGCAGGAUUUGUGUUCUGUGUAUUGUUACCACUGUUUGCAUCCUCCUGGGGCCUCAGUAUCAGUAGUGUCAGAUGCCAUUCCCAAGGGACCAGGUGUCUUUGAUGAGUCUUGACAAUGUCUGAUCACAUUCCAUCCCCUCAGAGUUGCUGUUAGCAUUGGUCAUAUGACAGAAUAACUUAGCUCCAACUAUAAAACAAGGGGGGCUUAGAACUUGGUUCCCCUCUGAGAUCUUUUCAAAUGGCAAAGGCAUCUGAUUGUAUACUCAAGAUACCGAAGCAGCCUGUAAGAAACACUGCUUCGGAAGCAGCACUGUGGCUCAAGUGAUAAGAGAACCUGCCUUGAGCAAACAGGCCACGCAAAAGUACAAGGCUCUGAAUUCAAGC